rnacentral:rRNA from 1 species
CCUACGGGAGGCAGCAGUGAGGAAUAUUGGUCAAUGGGCUUACGCCUGAACCAGCCAAGUCGCGUGAGGGAAGACUGCCCUAUGGGUUGUAAACCUCUUUUGUCAGGGAGCAAUUGGCGCUACGUGUAGCGUUAUCGAGAGUACCUGAAGAAAAAGCAUCGGCUAACUCCGUGCCAGCAGCCGCGGUAAUACGGAGGUUGCGAGCGUUAUCCGGAUUUAUUGGGUUUAAAGGGUGCGUAGGCGGAAUGCAAAGUCAGCGGGAACAAUGCGGUGCGUAACGCCGUCGAGCCGUUGAAACUGGCGUUCUUGAGUGGGCGAGAAGUAUGCGGAAUGCGUGGUGUAGCGGUGAAAUGCAUAGAUAUCACGCAGAACUCCGAUUGCGAAGGCAGCAUACCGGCGCCCUACUGACGCUGAGGCACGAAAGCGUGGGUAUCGAACAGGAUUAGAUACCCUUGUAGUC